GAAGAAGAAAAAGAAGAAGAAGCAGCAGCUACAAUCUACAAAGUAAAAAUUAAGGCUUCAAAUUCAAUGGUCAGGGUUUUACUUCGUUCCAUGGGUGGCAAAGCAGAAUCGGAAAGAUGGAGGAAUAAAAUAAGAUGAGGAUUGAGGAAAAAAGUAAUGGGUGUUAUGAUAAUAAUUCUAUUAGCUGUUGCCAGCAAAUCACUGGGAGAAGUUCAACUCCAAGAUGAGGCUCAUGAAAGAAGCUUAUAACACUGAUUUUUGUUGGCCUUAAUUGAAGGCUUAUUUCUCAACAGGGCUGAUGGUUUGAAACUUAUUAUAAUAUCCGCAACAGAUGACGCGGAAAAGCUUUCUGCAUACUUCUUUGGUUGCAAUAGAGAUCAUGUGGUUGGGAAAAAAAUACCAUGUUGACAUCAAAUAUGUUUCAGUGAUUCAGUUAUACUCAGAUGAUUUCCUCCGAAGCCAUAUGCUGAUAUUCCUAUUUCUACACAAGGUAGCUUUGUACACAAUGUAUGUAAGUUAGUCUACAUUCUAGAACUGCAAACUUCGACAGAUCUGUGUUAUUACCUUUGUGGUGAAACAUCUAA